rnacentral:pre_miRNA from 1 species
AGUGCAAUUGCUGGAUCCUAUGGUAAGAGUAUGUUUAACUUUGAAGAAAGCCAUCAAAGUGUCUUCUAAGGUGGCUGUACCAUUUGGCAUUUCCAUCGGCAAU